rnacentral:rRNA from 1 species
GAUGAACGCUGGCGGCGUGCCUAAUACAUGCAAGUCGAGCGAACGGACGAGAAGCUUGCUUCUCUGAUGUUAGCGGCGGACGGGUGAGUAACACGUGGAUAACCUACCUAUAAGACUGGGAUAACUUCGGGAAACCGGAGCUAAUACCGGAUAAUAUUUUGAACCGCAUGGUUCAAAAGUGAAAGACGGUCUUGCUGUCACUUAUAGAUGGAUCCGCGCUGCAUUAGCUAGUUGGUAAGGUAACGGCUUACCAAGGCAACGAUGCAUAGCCGACCUGAGAGGGUGAUCGGCCACACUGGAACUGAGACACGGUCCAGACUCCUACGGGAGGCAGCAGUAGGGAAUCUUCCGCAAUGGGCGAAAGCCUGACGGAGCAACGCCGCGUGAGUGAUGAAGGUCUUCGGAUCGUAAAACUCUGUUAUUAGGGAAGAACAUAUGUGUAAGUAACUGUGCACAUCUUGACGGUACCUAAUCAGAAAGCCACGGCUAACUACGUGCCAGCAGCCGCGGUAAUACGUAGGUGGCAAGCGUUAUCCGGAAUUAUUGGGCGUAAAGCGCGCGUAGGCGGUUUUUUAAGUCUGAUGUGAAAGCCCACGGCUCAACCGUGGAGGGUCAUUGGAAACUGGAAAACUUGAGUGCAGAAGAGGAAAGUGGAAUUCCAUGUGUAGCGGUGAAAUGCGCAGAGAUAUGGAGGAACACCAGUGGCGAAGGCGACUUUCUGGUCUGUAACUGACGCUGAUGUGCGAAAGCGUGGGGAUCAAACAGGAUUAGAUACCCUGGUAGUCCACGCCGUAAACGAUGAGUGCUAAGUGUUAGGGGGUUUCCGCCCCUUAGUGCUGCAGCUAACGCAUUAAGCACUCCGCCUGGGGAGUACGACCGCAAGGUUGAAACUCAAAGGAAUUGACGGGGACCCGCACAAGCGGUGGAGCAUGCGGUUUAAUUCGAAGCAACGCGAAGAACCUUACCAAAUCUUGACAUCCUUUGACAACUCUAGAGAUAGAGCUUUCCCCUUCGGGGGACAAAGUGACAGGUGGUGCAUGGUUGUCGUCAGCUCGUGUCGUGAGAUGUUGGGUUAAGUCCCGCAACGAGCGCAACCCUUAAGCUUAGUUGCCAUCAUUAAGUUGGGCACUCUAAGUUGACUGCCGGUGACAAACCGGAGGAAGGUGGGGAUGACGUCAAAUCAUCAUGCCCCUUAUGAUUUGGGCUACACACGUGCUACAAUGGACAAUACAAAGGGCAGCGAAACCGCGAGGUCAAGCAAAUCCCAUAAAGUUGUUCUCAGUUCGGAUUGUAGUCUGCAACUCGACUACAUGAAGCUGGAAUCGCUAGUAAUCGUAGAUCAGCAUGCUACGGUGAAUACGUUCCCGGGUCU